GCCCGGGUGGCGUAAUUGGUAGCCGCGCGAGUUUCAAAAACUCGUGGGGUAACACCCGUGAGGGUUCGACUCCCUCCCUGGGCACCA
rnacentral:tRNA from 1 species